GCGUCGGUAGUGCAACAGGUUAGGCACACGCCCAAGGAUAGGGUGAAAUGCGGGUUCAAGUCUCGCCUGACGCA